rnacentral:rRNA from 1 species
UACGUAGGGUGCAAGCGUUGUCCGGAAUUAUUGGGCGUAAAGAGCUCGUAGGCGGCUUGUCGCGUCGACUGUGAAAUCCCGCGGCUCAACUGCGGGUCUGCAGUCGAUACGGGCAGGCUAGAGUUCGGUAGGGGAGACUGGAAUUCCUGGUGUAGCGGUGAAAUGCGCAGAUAUCAGGAGGAACACCGGUGGCGAAGGCGGGUCUCUGGGCCGAUACUGACGCUGAGGAGCGAAAGCCAGGGAGCAAACGGG